rnacentral:rRNA from 1 species
UACGUAGGGAGCAAGCGUUGUCCGGAUUUAUUGGGCGUAAAGAGCGUGUAGGCGGCCAGGUAGGUCCGUUGUGAAAACUCGAGGCUCAACCUCGAGACGCCGAUGGAAACCGUAUGGCUAGAGUCCGGAAGAGGAGAGCGGAAUUCCUGGUGUAGCGGUGAAAUGCGCAGAUAUCAGGAAGAACACCCGUGGCGAAGGCGGCUCUCUGGGACGGUACUGACGCUGAGACGCGAAAGCGUGGGGAGCGAACAGG